rnacentral:lncRNA from 1 species
GGCCGUUAGUUUUCUCGUUUGAAUUGUUUUAUAGCUGACUACGCGGUAUGGGCUUUGCUCAUUGUUGAAGGUCGUACGGUAACCUAAAGUUGUGAAUGUCUGUGUCAUUUUGGUCUUUUGUGGAUAGUUGUCUCAUUGGCAAUCAUACCACAUCUUCUUUGUUAUAUUACUUUAUUUUUGAGAGUAACAACAUUAAAACAGAUAUUAAAAUUACAGAAGAUAAACCUUUGUGAGAACAACUACAAUAAUACCUAUAUAAAAAACAGACAACUGUUUGUAAAACCAAUACAUGAAUAUAGAAUAA